rnacentral:rRNA from 1 species
UACGGAGGGUCCAAGCGUUAUCCGGAAUCAUUGGGCUUAAAGGGUCCGUAGGCGGCCUUGUAAGUCAGUGGUGAAAGCCCAUCGCUCAACGGUGGAACGGCCAUUGAUACUGCUGGACUUGAAUUAUGAGGAAGUAACUAGAAUAUGUAGUGUAGCGGUGAAAUGCUUAGAGAUUACAUGGAAUACCAAUUGCGAAGGCAGGUUACUGCUAAGGGAUUGACGCUGAGGGACGAAAGCGUGGGUAGCGAACAGG